UACCUUUAGUCGCUGAAUCCUAAUAGGAACGGGGGAACCAACUGUGGUGCCUCUUGGGUCCACAUGGGGUGAAUCUCCUUCAGAAUCUGCAUGGAAUCUGAAGGAGUAGGGUGACUCUCAGCACCCGAAUCCGUCAGCUAACUUCGUAAGCGUCGUGAGAGGAGGU
rnacentral:sRNA from 2 species